rnacentral:rRNA from 1 species
AGAGUUUGAUCCUGGCUCAGAUUGAACGCUGGCGGCAUGCCUUACACAUGCAAGUCGAACGGCAGCGCGGGGGCAACCCUGGCGGCGAGUGGCGAACGGGUGAGUAACAUAUCGGAACGUGCCAGGAAGUGGGGGGAUAACUAGUCGAAAGAUUAGCUAAUACCGCAUACGCCCCAAGGGGGAAAGUGGGGGAUCGCAAGACCUCACGCUUGUUGAGCGGCCGAUAUCUGAUUAGCUAGUUGGUAGGGUAAAAGCCUACCAAGGCGACGAUCAGUAGCUGGUCUGAGAGGACGACCAGCCACACUGGGACUGAGACACGGCCCAGACUCCUACGGGAGGCAGCAGUGGGGAAUUUUGGACAAUGGGGGCAACCCUGAUCCAGCAAUGCCGCGUGAGUGAAGAAGGCCUUCGGGUUGUAAAGCUCUUUUGUCCGGGAAGAAAUCCCAUCUACUAAUACUGGGUGGGGAUGACGGUACUGGAAGAAUAAGCACCGGCUAACUACGUGCCAGCAGCCGCGGUAAUACGUAGGGUGCAAGCGUUAAUCGGAAUUACUGGGCGUAAAGCGUGCGCAGGCGGUUGUGCAAGACCGAUGUGAAAUCCCCGGGCUUAACCUGGGAACUGCAUUGGUGACUGCACGGCUAGAGUGUGUCAGAGGGGGGUAGAAUUCCACGUGUAGCAGUGAAAUGCGUAGAGAUGUGGAGGAAUACCGAUGGCGAAGGCAGCCCCCUGGGAUAACACUGACGCUCAUGCACGAAAGCGUGGGGAGCAAACAGGAUUAGAUACCCUAGUAGUCC